rnacentral:rRNA from 1 species
CGUGCAGGCGGGAGGGAAAGUCUGAUGUGAAAGCCCGGGGCUUAACCCCGGAAGGGCAUUGGAAACUACUCUUCUUGAGUCCUGGAGAGGAAGGGGGAAUUCCCGGUGUAGAGGUGAAAUUCGUAGAGAUCGGGAGGAAUACCAGUGGCGAAGGCGCCCUUCUGGACAGAGACUGACGCUGAGACGCGAAAGCGUGGGGAGCAAACA